ensembl:lncRNA
GGGAGCGAGGCGGUCGGCGCCGUCCCCCGUCGCCACAGCCACUGCAGCUGGCCGCGCCGGGCGAGUGGGAGGGGUGGCGGAGUGGAGGAUGCUACUCCCCGACUGAAGGGAGAGGAAGAAACGGAAACAGGAACCGCGGCCGCUGCUUAACGGAGCCUUCGGCGCCACUGACUGAGGGAAAGCGCAAGGCGGCGCGAGCCAGGCAGAGGCUGACAGCGCGAGACCGAGCGCGAGCCGGGUCCAGGGCGCGCGACCCCGAGCAGCGCCGGCCCCAUUCCGUGAGGAAAGGGAGGAACGGAACCGGUUGGCUGGGAGGCGGGAGGGGCGGCGGGGGGCCUGGAGCCGAGGGAACCCGGCCACUCGGGUCGGCCCGAGACCACGCGCGCACGCGCCGGAGUGGCUCCGACCCGGAGCGCAGGCGGGAAGCCUCCGGCCCGCGCGAACGAGCGGCGGGCGGGCGAGCGAGCGAGCGUGCGCGCGCGGAGAGGGGCGCGCGCCCCUCGGCGUCCCAGCCUUCUGGGGGAGGGCGCGCAUGCGCCGGCCGCGGCCUCCUCCAGCGACCCUGGCAUGUGCACAGGCUCCUCCCCGUCCCCUUCCUCUGUGCGGGUGGACAGCACAGCUGCAGCAUCCACGGGCCACGGCGGGACCCGAGUUCCAGCCGGGCAGCGGCCGCGCGCGGGCUCGGGCCCCGGUUCACACCGGUGUUAGGCCGCCUGAGGGCCAGAGACUGAGGGGGACGCGCCCUGGCGGCCCGGCCCGUCGCCUUGGGGCUCAGGCGGGCUCCGCGCUACUUUCGGGGUGUUCUCGCUGCUCGUUGGUUGCAGCACGAGCACACAAUGGCACCGCUGCCACCGCAGCUCUGGGCGGCCCGGCUACCCUUGCGGGCUCUGUCUCCACCUCCACGCGAAGACCCCCCUGCAGGGCCCGAGUUCGAAGCCCGGCCUCCCCGGGCCGCAGCUGCCACAGCCCUUCGGAGGCGGAAGUUUAUUGACUGAAAUUCCCGUCUUCAUUGAGUGCAAGCUCCAUAUACUUCAUACCAUUGAUUGAUUUGCUAUCCACUCCAGAAUCCCCCUCAUUAGUGCCUCAGGAAGCCUUACUUUGAAAGAAGGCUUUGCUAAGCUGCCCAUGUUAGCUUUGCCGAGCAGUCAGGAGGCAUACAUGACCACAUGCUGUGAGACUACUAUUGCUAAAGAUGAUAAUUGUAGUCAUCUCUCUUCAUCAAGGAAACUUCUCUUCGAAACAGAUGGAAACCACUACAGAACACCACAACCAAUCAAUAUGCAGGGUUAUGGAACCCAGUCCCAAUGCAUACAUCUGUAAAAACACUCCUGCACCCAAGGCUCAGGGAACAUUGCUGAAGAGGGGAUGGAAAGACUGUAAGAGCCAGAGCAUCAGGGAGUUUGCUAUGAGAUUAUGUCUUCUAGUAACAUCAGAAGCUACACCAAAUGUGAUCUGAACAAGGAUGACACCAAAUGGACAUGCCAAAACAAGGGAAAAGCCCAGGAGGCCUCAACCCUACACAAAGAACUAUAGGCAAUAGAGGAGAGCUGGGAACAAGACAGGUGGUCUUCCCCAGAGAAGAGCACACCAGUUGGUUGUCCUGUGCCAAAUGGUCAGUCCCGAAAACAGGCAUACAAAUAGCAUUAUACAAACUCAAUGGGUUAUAUUUAGGAAUAUAUAUAUA